CCUACGGGCGGCAGCAGUGAGGAAUAUUGGUCAAUGGCCGGAAGGCUGAACCAGCCAUGCCGCGUGAAGGUCAGUGCCCUAUGGGCGUUAAACUUCUUUUGUGCGGGAGCAAUAAUGGUCACGUGUGGCCAGACGAGAGUACCGUACGAAUAAGCAUCGGCUAACUCCGUGCCAGCAGCCGCGGUAAUACGGGGGAGGCAAGCGUUAUCCGGAUUUAUUGGGUUUAAGGGGUGCGUAGGCUGUGAGGUAAGUCAGCGGUGAAAUGCCCCCGCUCAACGGGGUGAAGUGCCAUUGAUACUGGCGUGCUGGAAUGCGGAUGCCGUGGGAGGAAUGUGUGGUGUAGCGGUGAAAUGCAUAGAUAUCACACAGAACACCGAUUGCGAAGGCAUCUCACGAAUCCGCGAUUGACGCUGAUGCACGAAAGCGUGGGUAUCAAACAGGAUUAGAUACCCGAGUAGUC
rnacentral:rRNA from 1 species